rnacentral:rRNA from 1 species
UACGUAGGGGGCAAGCGUUAUCCGGAAUUAUUGGGCGUAAAGAGUACGUAGGUGGUUAUGUAAGCGUGGGGUGAAAGGCAAUGGCUCAACCAUUGUUAGCCUUACGAACUGCAUGGCUUGAGUGCAGGAGAGGAAAGCGGAAUUCCUAGUGUAGCGGUGAAAUGCGUAGAUAUUAGGAGGAACACCAGUGGCGAAGGCGGCUUUCUGGACUGUAACUGACACUGAGGUACGAAAGCGUGGGGAGCAAACAGG